rnacentral:tRNA from 1 species
GGGCCGGUGGCUCAGCAUGGUUAGAGCGUUCGGCUGAUAACCGAAAGGUCGAGAGUUCAAAUCUCUCCCGGCCCA